GGGGAGAUUGAUGGAGGAGGAACUUCGAGGAAGAGCCAACGAAAGGAUCAUGAAGAAGGAUCCUGAAGAGAGAGAAUCCCUGCUCUGAGACUCCUAAAUCCAGUCAAAAUACCUCUGUGGGAGGAAAAAGAAAAAGAAUGAGCAGAGAAAUACCUGUUCUUUAAAAAUCAGCUUUAAGCUGGAAGUCUGCACAACUGCUUGACUAUGCACGUGUUCUGCCAUGCCCUCCAGCUUUUCCUCUUUGAAGCCCUGGCAUCCUGCUUCACUCGAGUGUUUCCUGUGAGACAACUGAGUCUGCCUGCGUGGUCCUGACGUGUUUCUAUUUGGCCUGAGAAGCUGAUCUUCGCAAUUAUUGUCACCAAUUCAAGCCCAUCCAAGUAUCUGGCUUUGAGAAUGUUUGAAAUACUGCUGCCACUGUUUCAGAGACCCAGAUGUACUAGCUUGACACAUUUAUGCGAUUAAAAGGGCUGUGAGAAA